CUUGUCAUUUUUUGUCAGUUAUUUUGAAUGGUACUAAUCUUGUGUCUGAGUUUCUAUCUGUGACAGGCUCUCAGGAGGGAUGGCCAACCAAACGAGGAAGAGGAGACAAUUGCGAGAAUUAGGAUACAGGGUAUUCACAAUACCAGUGGACCAACAUUGGAAAAAAUAGCAAGAAGAGAAGAACAUCUCUCGUCAAGAAGAGUCCAGAAAGGGGAAUCAACUGCAGCCAACCAUGGUAAAUGGGAAUUGAUGACAGCUGUACCCCACUACCCGUAGUACCCUUAGGUUAAGAAGAGUGCAUCACCUGCCAGCAAGAAUACCAAGAGAAGGAUAGAUUUUGGCUAACCCAAAAGUUACGAAAAGGAUGUAGAGAAGCAAGGCCGAUCAGAAGCACUAGACCAAUUGACAGAGAGAGAACUGGUAAAGGUUUGCUUACCAGACGUAAGGUGAGCUGUAUUCCUAAUUAACAUUAGUUAUCCUGGAGGUACUAGGCAUGAAUUUCCCUGCAACCAA